GCUGCCUGCACCUCGGCUGAUCCGCUGCCACUUGGGGCCUGCGCCAGGAAAGCAGCCUUCACAACUGAAAAAGAGGCCAGACAGCAACGAUUUUAGACGCAAGAGAAUGCAGUCUGCUGUGGCAGCGGAAGAGAAGCGGCUGAGUCCCGGCUGCACCUUUCAAGAAAGUGGAGGGUGCAGAUGUGAUGGAAACUCCUGUGGAGGUGGGGGUGGGGCAGGGAUGUUCCAGGGCAGAUGAGAGCAGGCUGCUGUCAACAGUCCCCACCUCUCUCUGCCCUUGCAGACCCAUGACACUGAGCAGCCAGGGGGCCCAUGACACUGAGCAGCCAGGGGGUGGGAGAGGCUCAGGGUGGUGCGCAGAACAGAAGCCCCUUGGCAGAGGCCAGCCCUGGUCUUGUGUGGUUUGCAGACUUGGAAGUUCAAGAACUGACUCAAAGGUAUUGCUUAUGAGGAAAAAGAACCAAAACUACAAUGAGAAGGAGCCACAUACACGGUGGAGCUCUACUGGAUCCAGCUUGCAGGCCCUUAGGAUGCCUUUCCAAUGGAGGCAAUCCCUGAUCCCAUAGCAGGGCCUGCACUACCCACCCCACCUCCCGCCCAUCGCUGUGACACACUCUCAGGGUGGCCCCAAAACAUAAAACAGUGUUCUCAUGUGGGCGAUUCUGUCCCAAGGGCACAUUUGACAAUGUGUGGAGAUGUUUAUGGUUGUCACAACUGGGAGGGGGCGCUACUGACAGCAAGUGGGCAGAGGCGAGGGUGCUGCCGAACCUCCCACAAUGCACACGAUGGCCCCGCAACAAACUCAUCCAUUCCAAAACAGCCAGAGUGCCAAGGCUGAGAAGCACUGAGCCAGACCUUCCCAGAGGCAGAGCCUGGGGCUGCCAGACUUUCUAACCAAAAGCUCUCAGUUCACUGGCAAAGACAGUCACCAAACAGAUGCCCAGGAGAUCUGAUGGGCCUGCGUUUACCUCCCUCCCUCACUCUGCGCCCGAGGACACAGUAUAUGCUCUGCGCCAGUGACCGAGACAUGGUGUUUUUCCUGUAUUCCUGUUCAAUUCCUGCCCUGGAACUCUGGGCCCGACUGUGGACGUGUCCCCUCACCUGCAAGGGCCUCCAUCAGGGUACUGCUCUCCUUGGCACCUGGGGGCUCUCCUCCUGGCUCCACCUUGCAGAACGCCAGCAGUCAGAACAAUUUCUGCUGAGGUAAAAGAAAAGGAAAAUAAAUCGCAGCCAGGGUUAGGUACAGGGGCCGGGGCAGUGAGGUAAGAAUGCCUUCAGAGGAGACGGUCAGAAUAGGCCCUGCGGGAGCUGCAACAUCCAGCUGGGCCCACCCCUGUCACUGGCAAUCAAGGUCCUGGCUCAACAGUCACUCCCAGAAGCGGUGUUCUGCGGGAUGCCCAGGAACUCUGGUCCAGGCUGUGCCGGUUCCCCUCCACCCAGAGCUGACACAGAGCACAGGUGGGCAUGGCCACAGCUUCCUAGCUCCAUGAUGAGCAAGCUCACGCCCUCCAGCAGUCUGCAAAUAGCUAGAGAAAUUCCCAUGGAUUUUAAAAUUUUCUUGGUAGUUAUAAGGAUUUGAAUACAAAAAUGUUAAACCAGAAAAAAAGAACAAAUUAUUUGAAUGGUAAAGUUUUGGACUGAGGAAUGAUUUUUCUAAGCCUGACAUCAGAUGUCUGACAAAUUUAACUACAUAAAAAAAUUUAAUGUAAAAAAACCAAAA